GACGAACGCUGGCGGCGUGCUUAACACAUGCAAGUCGAACGGAAAGGCCCUGCUUUUGUGGGGUGCUCGAGUGGCGAACGGGUGAGUAACACGUGAGUAACCUGCCCUUGACUUUGGGAUAACUUCAGGAAACUGGGGCUACUACCGGAUAGGAGCUCCUGCUGCAUGGUGGGGGUUGGAACUUUUCGGCUGGUGGGGUUGGACUCGCGGCUUAUCAGCUUGUUGGUGGGGUAGUGGCUUACCAAGGCAUGGACGGGUCGGCGGCCUGAGAGGGUGACCGGGCACAAGGGGACUGAGAGACGCCGCAGACUGGAAUGGGAGGCAGCAGUGGGGAAUAUGGCACAAUGGGCGGAAGCCUGAGGCAGCAACGCCGCGGGCGGGAUGACGGCCUUCGGGGUGUAAACCGCUUUCGCCUGAUACGAAGCGUGAGUGACGGUAAUGGGUAAAGAAGCACCGGCUAACUACGUG
rnacentral:rRNA from 1 species